UACGUAGGGAGCAAGCGUUGUCCGGAAUCAUUGGGCGUAAAGCGCGCGUAGGUGGCCUCAUAAGUCCGCUGUGAAAGUCAAAGGCUCAACCUUUGAAAGCCGGUGGAUACUGUGAGGCUAGAGUACGGAAGAGGCGAGUGGAAUUCCUGGUGUAGCGGUGGAAUGCGCAGAUAUCAGGAGGAACACCAAUAGCGAAGGCAGCUCGCUGGGACGCAACUGACGCUGAGACGCGAAAGCGUGGGGAGCAAACAGG
rnacentral:rRNA from 1 species